rnacentral:rRNA from 1 species
GCCAGACUCCUACGGGAGGCAGCAGUGGGGGAUAUUGCACAAUGGGGGGAACCCUGAUGCAGCGACGCCGCGUGGGUGAAGAAGCGCCUCGGCGCGUAAAGCCCUGUCAGCAGGGAAGAAAAUGACGGUACCUGAAGAAGAAGCCCCGGCUAACUACGUGCCAGCAGCCGCGGUAAUACGUAGGGGGCAAGCGUUAUCCGGAUUUACUGGGUGUAAAGGGAGCGUAGACGGCGACGCAAGUCUGGAGUGAAAGCCCGGGGCCCAACCCCGGGACUGCUCUGGAAACUGCGUCGCUGGAGUACGGGAGGGGCAGGCGGAAUUCCUGGUGUAGCGGUGAAAUGCGUAGAUAUCAGGAGGAACGCCGGCGGCGAAGGCGGCCUGCUGGACCGUGACUGACGUUGAGGCUCGAGAGCGUGGGGAGCAAACAGGAUUAGAUACCCUUGUACCU